UACAGAUAUUUAUCAGACAUUUAGAAAAUAUUUGUCAGAUGUUUCUUUUACAAAUAUUUUCUUUCAGUCUGUGAUUUGUCUUCCCAUUCUCUUGACAGUGUUUUUGGCUCAGGAGAACAUUUUAAUUUUAAUGAAGUCCAGCUGAUCAAUUAUUUCUCCUAGGGAUCAUGCCUUUGGUGUUGUGAGAAAGUUUUCACCCUGCCCAAGGCCAUCUAGGUUUCCCCUGUGUGAUCUUCCAGCAGCUUUAUAGCUUUGUGUUUUACACUUAGGUCUAGCAUUAAUUUUUGUGAAGCUUAUAAGGUCUGUGUCUAGAUUCACUCAUGUGAACGUCCAGUUGUUACAGCACCAUUUGCUGGGAAAACAAAACAAAACAACAACAACAAAAAACCCUACUUCUAUCUUUACAAUCAAAUAAAACUCCCAGGAGGCUGAGUCAUUUUCUGAAAUUAUAACAUCGCUCACCAAACAGAGACACCAAAAGAGCAUUUUCAGCUCUUUUCCUUUUCUGUUUAUUAUGUUUUAUCAACCCCCCUUCUGCUCCUUCCUUCCUUCCUUCCUAUUUUUAAAUAAUUUUAGACAUACAGAAAAGUUGCAAAAAUAAAAGGGAGAAUUAAUGUAUAUCUCUUAGUCAGCUUCCCCUGAUGUCAACUACUUAUAUAACCACAAGGCAGCUACCAAGGCCAGAAAAUUAACAUCUUUACAAUACUACUAAUAAAACUACAGACUUUAUUUGAAUUUUGCAAGUUUUCCUACAAAUGCCCCUUUUUCUUAUUCUAGAAUCUCACAUUGUGUUUGGUUGUCCUAUCUCCCCAGUCUUCUCGGAUCUGUGGUGGUUCCUCAUUCUUUCCUUGACUCUCACAUCCUUGAUACUUUGGAAGAGCAUUGGUCAAUAACUUUGUGGAAUAUCUCUCCAUUUGCCUUUGUGUGGUGUUUUCUCAUUGACUGGACUGAGGCCAUGCAUUACUGGGAAGAAUACUCCAGAAGAGGUCGUGUGUCCUUCUCAGUGGAUUCUAUCUGAAGCUGCUCACCAGACCCAGUUAGAGAUUACUUCUUGAAGACCUUCGCUGACAAAGGAGAGCCUGGGCUCGCUGUCAUCUGCUGUGUGUAGCCACAUGGCCCCGUGCUUCCACACCCCUUCUCUGUUUGACAGUAGACCUUCUUCUGACCCUGGAUCUCAAGCACAUCUAGAAGGAGGAGAGCAGUGGAGCUCAGACCUUGGCCCCUGUGGUCCCCACGGCCUGGAACACCAUCCCUGCCUCUCCUUUGCCAUCUUCUGUAGCAUUCGUUUUCAGAGUGCUGAGCUGAGUGCCCAUCUAGCCACCUUGCACAGACCUCUACCUGAGUGCUCACCGCAUCAUACAGAAAUUAGCCAUGAGCGUGAGUGUCUUUCCAACUAGACGGCAGGCUUCUCCGAGGCGGGACUUGUGGCUCAUUCGCCCCAGUCCUGCCACGUGCCACCCAGAGCCUGGUACAGAGCCAGCAUUUUAGAAAGAUCGGCUGAAAAUAACAGAUGGGUAAAGUCACUUGUCGAAAGUUGUGCUGCUAGCAUGGGGUCAAAAUGAGAUUGGAACCACGGUUGUUGUUACUGUUAGGUGCCUUUAUGUGAGUUAGGACAAAGCUCCCUCUCUGAGUGGAUGGACUGCAAAAAGAGGCAAGCCUCUGCAUGGACCAGUGAGAAAAAGACACUCCAUCCCUGGCUGCUGCAGCUCUGUGCCAGGGUCCCAGCUUGGCUGAGCCAGAGCAAGGACAAGAUUUCAGCCCCCUUCUUGCCGCCCAGGAGUCCCAGCUCAGACCCAGCAAGGGAUGGCCUGUUUAAACCCAAGGCAG